UGGGCAGGAGGGGCAGGUGCUGGACAUAGAACUGUGAACAAGAUGACCCCAAUCCUGCCUGCAGGGAGCUUUCAAUUGACACAGGUUCAGCUUGUCUAUUAACAAUCAUAAAUUAGGUAAGGCAGGACACUGAAAGUCCAGAACACAGUGGGUCGGCUGGAAGUAGAGUCUGGAACGACUUCUCUGAAAUGGACUUAAAGUGGAAAAGAAAUUAAUAUAUUGAAGAAGGGUGGCUCUAGGCUAGGGAAAAUCAACAGAAGCUGCAAAGGCCUUGAGUGAAGAAAACAUAAACUUCUGGCAUGGAGGUUAACAGCUGGUAAGGUGCUGUGUACUUUGGAAGAAUGAGAAAGGUCAUAUUUUACUUUUUAAUUAUUGUUUUUUGCUUACUCUACAAUCUGCAUUUAGGAUCAUCUUGAAUUUGAGUUCUUAAAUCCCUGCAGAUAGAAUUUCUCAAAACAGAUCUCAAAGAGCAGGAAAGCAGGAGGAUGGUGCAUUUGGGAAAGGAAGUCCCCUCUGUUGGAUUCAGAUUGCUGUUAUGGAAAUCAGUAACAUUUACAAGGUGGAAUAAGUGUGAUCAAUUGCUUAUCCCAAAUAAGAGGAAAAGUCCAGGUGUCUUCCCAAGGCCUCACAAGCACACUUUGCUUCUGCAGGACUUUUUACAUAAGCAUUAAAGAAGGCAGUUGUAAGAAACAUAGAGACCCUAGGGGUGGUGCUCUCAAGACUGAUUCACCAGGUCAAGUCAGUGUCCGCACACAGCAGCACAGUUUGUGGACAGAAGCAGGAUGGGGAUAGGAGGAAGGACAGCCACGAAGCCAGGCAGCACCAGGCAGAUAACUCUCCAUCGUUCUAGGCAAGCAGCCACCAGGGGCAGGGGAGUGGGAGUGUGAGCUGUGAGUUGUGAACUGUGAGCUGUGAGACAGAAGCAGAGACAGCUGCAAGGCAGGGAAGACUGGACUUGCCCUGAUUAUCCCCAGGAACUGCCUGACAAAGAAGAUUUGACCUGGACUUGUGUUGGGGGAACAUCAGAGUCUUUGCUUUUAGAAAAAGAAGGUUUAUGGAUAUGUCAGGAUCAAACGAAAGUAAACAGCUUCGUCACUGGAGGGCAUGCAUCACCAGAAAGGAGGAGACUACUGCUAUUGAUAUUUUCAAACAUAUUACUAUUAAGAAGGAUACAUAACAUGUAUGUGCAAUAAAUGUAUGGAGGAG
rnacentral:lncRNA from 1 species